rnacentral:rRNA from 1 species
GACAGAGGGUGCAAACGUUGUUCGGAAUUACUGGGCGUAAAGCGUGUGUAGGCGGCUUUGCAAGUCGGAUGUGAAAGCCCCGGGCUCAACCCGGGAAGUGCACUCGAUACUGCAGGGCUAGAGUGUCGGAGAGGUUGGUGGAAUUCUCGGUGUAGAGGUGAAAUUCGUAGAUAUCGAGAGGAACACCGGCGGCGAAGGCGGCCAACUGGACGACGACUGACGCUGAGACACGAAAGCGUGGGGAGCAAACAGG